rnacentral:rRNA from 1 species
UACAGAGGAUGCAAGCGUUAUCCGGAAUGAUUGGGCGUAAAACGUCUGUAGGUGGCUUUUUAAGUCCGCCGUCAAAUCCCAGGGCUCAACUCUGGACAGGCGGUGGAAACUACCAAGCCGGAGUACGGUAGGGGCAGAGGGAAUUUCCGGUGGAGCGGUGAAAUGCGUUGAUAUCGGAAGGAACUCCGGCGGCGAAAGCGAUGCACUGGCUGAUUUCUGACGCUGAGGUGCGAAAGCCAGGGGAGCAAACGGG